UUUGAUCAUGGCUCAGGGUAAACGCUGGCGGCGUGCCUAAAACAUGCAAGUCGAACGGGCACCUUCGGGUGUCAGUGGCAGACGGCUGAGUAACGCGUGGGUGACGUACCUAUCGGUGGGGAAUAACUGCCCGAAAGGGUGGCUAAUACCGCAUACGUCCACUGGAGUCGUCCAGUGGGGAAAACCGCAAGGUGCCGAUGGAGCGGCCCGCGUUCGAUUAGCUGGUUGGUGGGGUAACGGCCUACCAAGGCGACGAUCGAUAGCUGGUCUCAGAGGAUGAUCAGCCAGACUGGGACUGAGACACGGCCCAGACUCCUACGGGAGGCAGCAGUUAGGAAUUUUGGGCAAUGGGCGCAAGCCUGACCCAGCAACGCCGCGUGGGUGACGAAGGCCUUCGGGUUGUAAAGCCCUUUUCUGGGGGAAGAUGA
rnacentral:rRNA from 1 species